rnacentral:rRNA from 1 species
UACGUAGGGUGCAAGCGUUGUCCGGAAUUACUGGGCGUAAAGAGCUCGUAGGCGGUUUGUCGCGUCGUCUGUGAAAACUCGAGGCUCAACCUCGAGCUUGCAGGCGAUACGGGCAGACUUGAGUACUGCAGGGGAGACUGGAAUUCCUGGUGUAGCGGUGAAAUGCGUAGAUAUCAGGAGGAACACCGGUGGCGAAAGCGCUCAUCUGGCCCAAUACUGACGCUGAAGCACGAAAGCUAGGGGAGCAAACGGG